GGGCUCACACAAGCGGUGGAGGAUGUGGCUUAAUUCGAGGCUACGCGAAGAACCUUAUCCUAGUCUUGACAUGUAUGGAUUAACCCUGUGAAAGCAGGGCCACGCCUUCGGGUGGAACAUACACAGGUGCUGCAUGGCUGUCGUCAGCUCGUGUCGUGAGAUGUCGCGUUAAGUCGCUUAACGAGCGAAACCCUUGUCUCUAGUUGCCAGCGCGUAAUGCGGGGGACUCUAGAGAGACCGCCGGCGUUAAGCCGGAGGAAGGUGGGGAUGACGUCAAGUCCUCAUGGCCCUUAUGACUAGGGCUGCACACGUCCCUACAAUGGAACGCACAAAGGGAAGCGAAACCGCGAGGUC
rnacentral:rRNA from 1 species